rnacentral:lncRNA from 1 species
CGUAUUUUACUCCUCCAUUAUCUUUGCUUGAUUUUUAGCAAUUCUGUAUGUUCUACUUUUUACUGCAUUUGUUUGUAUAGAAAUCUUUAGGAUGCCAUUUCAUGCACAUUUUGUUAAAAAAAAAAAAAAAAACCUAAAUUAGACUUGCAUUUUUUAGCCUGCCUAGUAUUUGCUAAGUUUGUACCUCGGUUUACCUUGUAAAUUGUUGUAUGCAGUAAAAUUGGUAAACUGUUAGGUUUUAACAUUGUUGCCUUUCUUCUUCUGGGUCAUAGGCAUAGUAUAUUCACUAAGCUGUUUCAAAAUCUUAUCUUGUGCAGACAAACCGCACAACAGCAAGGAUUUUCCCUGCUGUCCUUGACGUUGAGAACCCAGAAUUCAAGAGAAAGUUGGACAGGAUGGUGGAGAUUAACCAAAAAAUACUUGCUGUUGGGGAGACUGAUGACAUUCCACUGGUGAAGAAUUUCAAAAGGAUCCCUCUGAUUGCAGCUCUGGCUUCUGAGUUAUUGGCCGCAUAUCUCAUGAAACCCAUUGAGUCAGGUUCAGUUGAUUUUGCAGAGUUUGAACCACAACUCGUCUACUAAUUUCCUUUUCCCUCGUGACUUUGUGAAAAAACAGAAAUCAGCUCUUUUCACAUAGAGGUGCAUGUUCAUUGUUGUAAGUUAUAUAGCGUAUUUAAGAAACACUUUCCUGCAUAGAGGACACUCCCUUGUAUUAUCUUGAUAAUCUAGAAUGAAUUUCUUGUGAGUACAUCAUUAUGUUUUCAUCUUGACUGGUCUCAGUUAUUAGU